rnacentral:rRNA from 1 species
GUAGGUGGCAAGCGUUGUCCGGGAAUUAUUGGGGCGUAAAGCGCGCGCAGGCGGUUUUUUAAGUCUGAUGUGAAAGCCCACGGGCUCAACCGUGGGAGGGGUCAUUGGAAACUGGAGAACUUGAGUGCAGAAGAGGAGAGCGGAAUUCCACGUGUAGCGGUGAAAUGCGUAGAGAUGUGGAGGAACACCAGUGGCGAAGGCGGCUCUCUGGUCUGUAACUGACGCUGAGGCGCGAAAGCGUGGGGAGCAAACAGGAUUAGAUACCCUGGUAGUCCACGCCGUAAACGAUGAGUGCUAAGUGUUAGAGGGUUUCCGCCCUUUAGUGCUGCAGCAAACGCAUUAAGCACCCCGCCUGGGGAGUACGGUCGCAAAGACUG